UUGUCCGGAUUUAUUGGGCGUAAAGCGAGCGCAGGCGGUUUGAUAAGUCUGAAGUUAAAGGCUGUGGCUCAACCAUAGUUCGCUUUGGAAACUGUCAAACUUGAGUGCAGAAGGGGAGAGUGGAAUUCCAUGUGUAGCGGUGAAAUGCGUAGAUAUAUGGAGGAACACCGGUGGCGAAAGCGGCUCUCUGGUCUGUAACUGACGCUGAGGCUCGAAAGCGUGGGGAGCGAACAGGAUUAGAUACCCUGGUAGUCCACGCCGUAAACGAUGAGUGCUAGGUGUUGGAUCCUUUCCGGGAUUCAGUGCCGCAGCUAACGCAUUAAGCACUCCGCCUGGGGAGUACGACCGCAAGGUUGAAACUCAAAGGAAUUGACGGGGGCCCGCACAAGCGGUGGAGCAUGUGGUUUAAUUCGAAGCAACGCGAAGAACCUUACCAGGUCUUGACAUCCCGAUGCUAUUUCUAGAGAUAGAAAGUUACUUCGGUACAUCGGUGACAGGUGGUGCAUGGUUGUCGUCAGCUCGUGUCGUGAGAUGUUGGGUUCAGUCCCGCAACGAGCGCAAGCCCCUAUUGUUAGUUGCCAUCAUUCAGUUGGGCACUCUAGCGAGACUGCCGGUAAUAAACCGGAGGAAGGUGGGGAUGACGUCAAAUCAUCAUGCCCCUUAUGACCUGGGCUACACACGUGCUACAAUGGUUGGUACAACGAGUUGCGAGUCGGUGACGGCGAGCUAAUCUCUUAAAGCCAAUCUCAGUUCGGAUUGUAGGCUGCAACUCGCCUACA
rnacentral:rRNA from 1 species